rnacentral:lncRNA from 1 species
GAUUAAGAAAUUUACUUUUCUCUAAAAAAUAAUUUUAAAAAUAUAAUUUAAAAAUCAUCCAACCAAUUACAAAAAUGACUACAACAUCUAAUUGGUUACACAGUUUUCAAUAAAGCUAAAAAUAACAUAAAAAUAUCACAACAUCAUCUAUUUUGAAACAACAAAAAUCUUCUAAAACAUCAUCUAAUAUGAAACAGAGGGAGUAUUUAGAUAAUGUUACCUAAAUACAUACAGUACU